GAUGAAGAACGCAGCGAAAUGCGAUAAGUAAUGCGAAUUGCAGAAUUUCCGUGAGUCAUCGAAUCUUUGAACGUACAUUGCGCCCACUGGUAUUCCGGUGGGCAUGCCUGUUCGAGCGUCAUUAUCCUCCCUCAAACCUCGGGUUUGGUGUUGGACCCAAGUUGUGUGAACAACUGGUCUUAAAGACAAUGACGGCGUCCGUGGGACCCUCGGUGCAACGAGCUUUUAGGAGCACGCGUCGAGUUUCAAGGACCUUCCGGGCCGGUCUCCUUUACCAUUUUACAAGGUUGACCUCGGAUCAGGUAGGAAUACCCGCUGAACUUAAGCAUAUCAAUAAGCGGAGGA
rnacentral:misc_RNA from 1 species